rnacentral:rRNA from 1 species
GGGUUGUGAGGUUAAGCGACUAAGCGUACACGGUGGAUGCCCUGGCAGUCAGAGGCGAUGAAGGACGUGCUAAUCUGCGAUAAGCGCCGGUAAGGUGAUAUGAACCGUUAUAACCGGCGAUUUCCGAAUGGGGAAACCCAGUGUGACUCGUCACACUAUCAUUAACUGAAUCCAUAGGUUAAUGAGGCGAACCGGGGGAACUGAAACAUCUAAGUACCCCGAGGAAAAGAAAUCAACCGAGAUUCCCCCAGUAGCGGCGAGCGAACGGGGAGGAGCCCAGAGCCUGAAUCAGCAUGUGUGUUAGUGGAAGCGUCUGGAAAGGCGCGCGAUACAGGGUGACAGCCCCGUACACAAAAGCGCAUGUGUUGUGAGCUCGAUGAGUAGGGCGGGACACGUGAUAUCCUGUCUGAAUAUGGGGGGACCAUCCUCCAAGGCUAAAUACUCCUGACUGACCGAUAGUGAACCAGUACCGUGAGGGAAAGGCGAAAAGAACCCCGGCGAGGGGAGUGAAAAAGAACCUGAAACCGUGUACGUACAAGCAGUGGGAGCACCCUUCGGGGUGUGACUGCGUACCUUUUGUAUAAUGGGUCAGCGACUUAUAUUCUGUAGCAAGGUUAACCGAAUAGGGGAGCCGGAGGGAAACCGAGUCUUAACCGGGCGUUAAGUUGCAGGGUAUAGACCCGAAACCCGGUGAUCUAGCCAUGGGCAGGUUGAAGGUUGGGUAACACUAACUGGAGGACCGAACCGACUAAUGUUGAAAAAUUAGCGGAUGACCUGUGGCUGGGGGUGAAAGGCCAAUCAAACCGGGAGAUAGCUGGUUCUCCCCGAAAGCUAUUUAGGUAGCGCCUCGUGAAUUCAUCUCCGGGGGUAGAGCACUGUUUCGGCUAGGGGGCCAUCCCGGCUUACCAACCCGAUGCAAACUGCGAAUACCGGAGAAUGUUAUCACGGGAGACACACGGCGGGUGCUAACGUCCGUCGUGAAGAGGGAAACAACCCAGACCGCCAGCUAAGGUCCCAAAGUCAUGGUUAAGUGGGAAACGAUGUGGGAAGGCCCAGACAGCCAGGAUGUUGGCUUAGAAGCAGCCAUCAUUUAAAGAAAGCGUAAUAGCUCACUGGUCGAGUCGGCCUGCGCGGAAGAUGUAACGGGGCUAAACCAUGCACCGAAGCUGCGGCAGCGA